rnacentral:rRNA from 1 species
AAAAUUAAAGGUCUAAUCUGCCCAAUGAUAUUUGAAUGGCCGCGGUAAUUUGACCGUGCAAAGGUAGCAUAAUAAUUAGUCUUUUAAUUGAAGGCUUGUAUGAAAGAUUGGAUGAAAAAUAAACUUUAUUAAUAUAAAUUAUUUAACUUAUCAUUUAAGUAAAAAUUCUUAAAUAUGUAAGUGGGACGAGAAGACCCUAUAGAGUUUUAUUUUCAUUUAUAUUAUUAAAUUAAAGAAUUAGUAUUUUUAUAAUAUAAAUGAAUUUUUUAUUGGGGUGAUAUUAAAAAUUUAUGAACUUUUAAUUAAUAUAUCAUUAAUGUAUGUAUUUUGAUCCAAAAUAUUUUGAUUAUAAGAUAUAAUUACCUUAGGGAUAACAGCGUUAUUAAUUUGAAYAGUUCUAAUCGAUAAAUUAGUUUGCGACCUCCAUGUUGGAUUAAYAAUAAAUUUUAAAGUAGCAUUUAAAAUUAUGGGUCUGUUCNACCUUUAAAUUCUUACG